GGAGAAGCAAAGUGAUGAGCAUUACUCACUAGAGACUCAACAAGGCACAUGUGUGUGUGUUUGUGUGUAUUUGUGCGUGUGCAUGUAUGACAGGAGUAUGAAUGUGUGUGAAAGUGGUAGGGAUUAGUUAGUGACGUGCCUUCUGUUGGACAAUGACAGUCGAACUGAUAAGAUCUGAUUGCUUC